GGGAGGCAGCAGUGGGGAAUAUUGCACAAUGGGCGCAAGCCUGAUGCAGCCAUGCCGCGUGUGUGAAGAAGGCCUUCGGGUUGUAAAGCACUUUCAGCGGGGAGGAAGGCGAUAAGGUUAAUAACCUUGUCGAUUGACGUUACCCGCAGAAGAAGCACCGGCUAACUCCGUGCCAGCAGCCGCGGUAAUACGGAGGGUGCAAGCGUUAAUCGGAAUUACUGGGCGUAAAGCGCACGCAGG
rnacentral:rRNA from 1 species